rnacentral:rRNA from 1 species
AGGGUUUGAUUAUGGCUCAGGACGAACGCUGGCGGCGUGCCUAACACAUGCAAGUCGAACGAAGCUCGAAGCUCUGAGAUUUCGGUCAAGGAGCCUAGAUGACUUAGUGGCGAACGGGUGAGUAAUGCGUGAGCAACCUGCCUUUCAGAGGGGGACAACAGCUGGAAACGGCUGCUAAUACCGCAUAACACACCGGGGUGGCAUCACCCUGGUGUCAAAGGAGCAAUCCGCUGAGAGAUGGGCUCACGUCUGAUUAGCUGGUUGGUGAGGUAACGGCUCACCAAGGCGACGAUCAGUAGCCGGUCUGAGAGGAUGAACGGCCACAUUGGGACUGAGAUACGGCCCAG